CCACAUGGGGCAGGGACUGACUGAUUUGAUUAUCUUGUAUUCACCCCAGGUGCAUGGCCGUUCUCAGUUGGUGGAGCCAUUUAUCUGGUUAAUUCCGAUAAGGAACGAGACUCUGACAUAAUAAUGUUGGUAUUUGUUAAGCGCUUACUAUGUGCAGAGCACCGUUCUAAGCGCUGGGGUAGAUACAGGGUAAUCAGGUCAUCCCAUGUGAGGCUCACAGUUAAUUCCCAUUUUACAGAUGAGGUAACUGAGGCACAGAGAAGUUAAGUGACUUACCCACAGUCACUCAGCUGUGGCAGAGCUGGGAGUCGAACCCACGACCUCUGACUCCCAAGCCCAGGCUCUUUCCACUGAGCCACGUUUACAUGCUAACUAGUUACACAACACCUCCCGCCCCCUCACCCCAACCCCGAGUGCUCGGCGUCCAACUUCUUAGAGGGACAAGUGGCAUUCAGCCACCCGAGAUUGAGCGAUAACAGGUCUGUGAUGCCCUUAGAUG
rnacentral:ncRNA from 1 species